AAAACAACAUGUGGCUGCCUGACUCCCCAUCUGUCCUCACCUCAAAGCAUAUGCUACACUGUGCAAGCUUUGGAUUCUAUGAAAUCUGGAAACAUCCUGCAGAGACGGCAGAACGGUGCAACAAUAAAAUUCAGUUCUACUGAGGUCAUCUGAGAUUUAUGGACCCUGCUUUUCCAUUGAAACUCGAGAGUUGGAAAGCCUUUGGUCUCAUUGACCAGAUUCCCAUUCAUCCCUCAAGAGAAGCCCAAGGGACACUGAUCAUCACCUUAGAAGGGGAGUUGUUUAAAAUAGAUUCUGGGGAGUAAACCCAGUGUUUUUUCCUGCACAUGAUCCAGUCGACAAGCUGAUCUUGGCUGCAUUAACAGUCCCUUCCACUCAUCUGCCUCUGGACAGACCCUGUCUUGCAGGUAUUAUCGGAGCUGGCGUUCAACUUCCAGAGAGCAGGUGGGAACGGGAACCACGAGAUGGCGCUCUGCUGAUGAGAGGGAUCCGCAUGCGCAGUUCUGCUGUAGGUGUGACUCCAGCUUGUCUGGUUUGCUGGUUUAAGUUUUACAAUUUCUCCAGCACUGAAGCUGCCACUCAAAAGAGCCCCUGGCCACCUAACAACUGGUAAGUCAAAACAUGAGAUACAGUCAUGUCUUUCAAUCAUUAACAGGCAAGGAAGGGAUGGUGAAUUCAACUGGAUUUCCAGCAGCAGGGAGAGUCUGAUGUUGGCUGCUGCCAAUACAACUUUGUUUAGACCUGUGCUGAUGAGAGCUGGGAGCACCCUCAGGAAUUUAAAAUAUUUGUAUUAUGCAAAGGAAAUGAAAAAUAACAAGCUCAUUUAUCUAUCUUUUCCUAAAAUAUGUCAUUCAGGGCCUUUCCACGGUUACAAAUGUCCAGUCUAAGACUAAAGGGCAAGAUAGUCUAUACCAUCUGAAAGGUCCAUAAUGACGAUGGCUGCGUGUGUGUGUGUGUGUGUGUGUGUACGCACACGGCGGGGAACAAUGGGAGGGGUACAGAGCCUCAGAUACUUGCUUUUAGGGUUACUAUAAUUGAUGAUUAUUCAUUAUUCUGCUCUUCUUAAAGUAUUCAUUACAUACCUACCAAGUCCCAGUGCUCUCCUAAGCACCGAGGGACACACUCCCUGCUCUUGGGGAGCUUGCGUUCUAACGAAAGUCCAGAAAAGAAACAAAUAAGCAAAUAAAUAUAUGACAUGUCAGAUGCUGGGCAGUGCCCUAAGGGAACAGAGAGCUGGGCAAGGGGCUUGAAAAUGGCCAAUAAGGGUGGCCUCCCUAAUUAGGUGUCACGUGAACAGAGACCUGAAUGAACCCAGAGAACCAGCCUCGAGAGCAUCUCAGGGAAGACGUCUCCAGACAGAGAAACUAGUAAGUGUGAAAAGAUGUGAGGAAACACUUGUGGGUGGGAUGUUAUUAAUCUGUCGGAUUCCGAGUGAGUUGGCUCAGGAGAGUCUGCUGUCUGAUGCGCCCUGGCAGUUUUUUAAGGGAGUCAGAACUGACUCAAUAGUCUUUCAUCCAGAUACACAAAAGGGCUCCUGUUCUGCGGAAUGCGUUUCCCACCCCUUACCUUCCACUCUCAUUUCUAGAUUUACGUGACUUAAAUAAAAAGUAACCAGAAAAAAUAUACGGAUAUCCCCUGCAUACAGUGAGAAGCUUCCUCAAAAAGGGAUUGUGUAGGACUUCCCUGGUGGCCUAGCAGUUAAGGAUCUGGUUUUGACACUGCUGUGGCUUGGGUUCAGUCCCUGACCCAGGAACUUUUUCAUGCCACAGGUGCAGCAAAACGGGGGGCGGGGGGGGGGUUGUUAUGCAGUAUCAAAAUUGAGCCAUCAUAAGAAACAAAUAAUACAAGUCAUAACGUGCAGGAAACCACAGUGAAGAUGACCCUGUGUCUAUUAUAUCUGCAAAUUUGUGAUAGGAUUUCUGAGUCCUUCCCAAUACAGGGCACUGUGCCCGAAGCUGUGAAGGAGAGAAAGUGAAAGGAAUGCAUAAUCUAUGUCCCCACUGAGCUAAUGCCUGGUUCGAAUGACAAUAGUCCUGGUUGUCUCUUCAUGAUGCCUCUGAGAACAGCCAUUGCAAUGUUUGACAUCAGACGGAAAACAGUUCAGAGCUCAGUUCUAUCACCUACAAAGUGUCAGACCAAAAGUUAGCCUUUUAACUUGGCAGAAACUCAGAUUUCAACAGGGUCAUUAUACCUACCUCUUAGGUUUGUUGUGAGAAUAAAUUAGCUAAUGUUCAUAAAGCAACUAGUACCUUGCUAGGUGUUUCCUUUGGAGUGGGAAGGUUAUAUAUGCGUAGGAAGCUAGGGAAAUACUUCAAAAUGACCCUCGUAUAGGCAGUUGAUCCAAAAUAGUGUCAUCAUUUAGUAAGCAUCCAAAUGCCUAAAUAUAUUGGUGCAGUACGAUGGGAAUGGAUUUGGCAUGACUUGUGAACUCUCUAUAUAGUUAUCAUCUUAUCUGUGCUUUUUUCAUUUUUACACUUUAAAUUAAUGUCUUUUCAUGUCUCUCCAUGAAUUCUAUUCAUUGAAUGCAUCAAUCCAUUUCUACCUAAAAUGCAUAAUCACAAAAUCUUUCAUUUGCCAAAGAAUGCUCAGAACGUAUGCAUAUAAUAACAUUUUAUAUCUGAUCAGUUAGCCAUUUCACAUAUGUUAAAUGAACUUUAGUGUAUUCUAGAGCCUGGACGUAAAAAAUCACAUAAAAUCUAAUUGGAUCCUACUUUCUAGGAAAACAUACUCUGGCCAUGGGGCAGGAGAUGUAAACAUUUGCAACAUAAUGUGUUAAUCACUGGUGCAGAGAUACCCUCCCUUACCUUGUGUGUACAAAGGAGUGACUAACUCCAUUUAGGCAUUGGUGGUACCUAAGGGAGUCGGAAGGUCUUAAGAAAGAUGAGAAUGGAAAUCGUAUUUUGGGAGUUCCCAUUGUGGCUCAGGGGGCUAAGAAUGCAACAUAAUGACCCUGAAGAUGCAGUCCACCCCUGGCCUGGCUCAGUGGGUUAAGGAUCUGGCAUUCCCGCAAGCUGUCAUGUAGGUCACAGAUGGGUCUCGGAUCCAGCAUUGCUGUGGCUGUGGUGUAGGCCAACAGCUGCAGCUCUGAUUCAUCCCCUGGCCUGGGAACUUCCAUAUGCCACAGGUGCAGCCAUAAAAAGACCCCCCAAAAGUAAAAGAAAUAGUAUUUGGAAGAAUGAAAUAAAAAAAGUAAUAGUAUUUGGAAGUAUGAGCGCAUAUGCUAGGUAGAUGAGACUAGCAUGGACUGGUUUGUGGAGUGAAUGUGAAGGAAGAGGGGUAAGAAGAGAAGAAAACUGAUGGAGAAACCUGAAUAACAAAUAAAAAUGAGGAAGAAAAAUGAUGAGAGAAGUGAGAUCAACUAAUGAAAACCUUGAAGCCAUCACCUCCAUUUACCCACAUAAUUUCACUGAGGACCUUCUAUGCCUUUUAUAUGGCUUAAUGGUGGCGACAGAGAACUGCAAGUUGUGUGACCAGAGAUGGAUGUCACUGACCCCUACCUUGCUUUCUUUGAACACACUGUCACCGGUGUUCAAGGGAAAAUCUGUGCAGACUUCUCUACUGCAGAACCAGCCUUUAUCUUUUAAUUUUUCACAAGGAAGAAUACAUCAAGUGGAAAAGUUUGAAAUCAAUGGUUCCAAAACAUUGUUGUAAACCAGAAAGUGGAUGUUACAAAUACUACGAGAAGUGACGGUGAGCUUUAAAUCCAGAAGAGCAAUAUUUUGGGCAUCCAAAAAGAACACAUUCCAACUAUGCCUCUCUAAUCAAAAGCAUAUGUAAGUAUUAUGUCAGUCAGGGUUCUUCAAAGAAACAGAACAAAUAAGAUGUGUUUUGUAAUAUGGAGAUAAAAUGAAAGAGAGAGAGGUUGAUUUUAAGAAAUUGACUGAUGCAACAUGUUUGAAAUUUGUAGGGCAGGCCAGCAGUCUGGAAAUCUAAGGAAGAGGUGAAUUUUCAGGUCAAGAUGAAGGCAGUCUGGAGGCAGAAUUCUUUUACCUUUGAGGAGCCUCAGUCUUUGAUCUUAAGGCCUUCAGUUGAUUGGUUGAGAUCUACCCACAUUAUGGAGGGUAAUGUGUUUACUCAGAGUUCACUAACGUAAUUGCUAAUUACAUGUAAAAAAUACCUUCCCAGCAACAUCUAGGCUGGGUUGACCAAGCACACCUGGGCACCACCACCUUGCAAGGAUGACACAAAAAAUUAAUCAUUACAGAUCUCUAUAUAGUUUUAGCCCCUUGGAAGAGCUUAUGAGGAGCCGUGAAUGAGAACAAUUCCCUAAACUGGUGCUGCAUUUUAAGGCAAUGGGCUGUAGGCUGCUUACAACCAUGCAGAUGGUGCUAACUAUCAAACACUUACUGAAAUUCCAUUUAUUCAUUCAUUCUUUUGAUAAAUAUUUACCGAGAGCAUCCUAUUCGUCAAAUCCUGUUGUUUGAGAGAAAUCAGUAAGAUAUUAAUGUGUCCCAAGAAACCUCCAUCAGAGGUAGAAUAAUCCUAAAAAAAAAAAAUUUAGUCUAGAGAAAUGUGGAAGCUCUAACUCCUGAUCACAGUGUAUGAAUCCCAGAGCUGGAGUCAUGAUUCAGAAAAUCUAAUUCCCACUUAGUGCUCUUUUCCCUGAAUUCAAACUCAGAUACUCUCCCUAUUUGUAGGCUUAACUUCAUAGGCCAACCAUGGUGGAAACCUUCUGAGAAUGCCUGAGUCUCAUUGCACAAUCACAUGAGUCACAUUAGAAUUUGGAGAAAUAUGAUAAUAUGCAGAAUGAUCAAGAAAUGCAAGAAAAUUCUCUUCUCUGCUCUACGGUGGGCUUCUAAGCAGCAGAUCUUUUUGGCAUGUGGAGAUUCCCAGGCUGGGGCUCAAAUCCAAGCUGUGUCUGUGACCUACACCACAGCUCACGGCAAAGCUGGAUCCUUAACUCACUGAGCAAGGCCAGGGAUGGAACCUGCAUCCUCAUGGAUACCGGUCAGAUUUGUUCCCGCUGGGUCAUGAUGGGAACUCCUAAGCAGCAGAUCUUAAAUGACAGAUGGAUUUGUACUCCUCACCUCACCAGUGAGAAAUAAGGCAGAGAGGGAAGAGCCCAAAGAGCAGCCAUGUGACUCCAGAAUAAUGUUAUAGGAAAAUGGCAGAGAGAAAGAAGAGGGGCCUCCACCGCAGAGAUGCAAGCCUUCGGUGUGAGUUGGAGGGUCUGGUACGAAUCUUGUUUUCCUUUCCUAAUCAAGCAACCAGUCAGUUCAGGCCUUUGAAAGCAUCUACCCUGAAUGCAUGGCUGAAGAGCUCAUUAAAAUUAAAAAUUAAACAAAUAAAUAAAAGACAUUCAUAACAAGACUUCUGAGGAAGAGGAAACUUAAUAAAAAGCUAAAUGAAAAUGCCUAGCACUGUUUUUCCAAUUUCCUGCCUCAUUCUUGUCAGUCUAUUUUAAGGAGGCUUUAUUUAUCACUGAGCAAGGCAGGGAUAGUUGUUCCCAGGUGGGAUUUGCCCUAAGGACCUCCUCACACGCUGCCCUACAGGAGCAGGCAGUGAAUGGUGACAUGAAGUGCCCCAUCUAGAGGCAACUUCUUUUGUUAGUCUGUCUUUGGGCAGGGCCCUAAUGAAGAAUAGCUUCAGGCAUAGUUGAAUAAUAGAAAUAGAAAGCCAAGAUUUCAUUUUCGAUUGGUCCAGAACUAACUUUUCCAGUAGCCAUUACACAUUAUGAUUCUUUCUUGGUGAAAAUAAAGAUGAGACGCAGAUAAUUCGAGCAUGUAGGCUGAUGGCUGUGGAUAAUCUCUGGCUUGUCACUAAAGACCAUCUUCUUAAAACACAGCUUGAAAAAGCCAGGUACGAACUUGAUCCAGCUGCAUCCUGUCACAGCCCUUCCCCAUUUCUGCCACUCUCUACCCUCAUGCCAACUGGAGAUGUCAUCAGUGAGAAACUGGCCUCCACCGUGACCUUAUUCUCUAGGACUAUUUUUUGCAAGUCAUAUUUUCCAAUCUUUUGCAGCUCUUUCAGUGCCUUGUGACAGUCAGUAUGAUAUCUUGGCAUUUAGAGCUCUCUCCACGUGCAGUGUCAAUAAAUUAAGGUUUGUAAAAAAGGUGCUAAUUGUAUUAGUUCUUGAAAAGCAAUUAAAAAUUGGGCAUGAAGAAAUGUAGUUCAAGUAAAAAAAAAAAAAAAA
rnacentral:lncRNA from 1 species